GGGGGAUAUUGCACAAUGGAGGAAACUCUGAUGCAGCAACGCCGCGUGAGGGAAGAAGGUCUUCGGAUUGUAAACCUUUGUCCUUGGUGACGAAACAAAUGACGGUAGCCAAGGAGGAAGCUCCGGCUAACUACGUGCCAGCAGCCGCGGUAAUACGUAGGGAGCAAGCGUUGUCCGGAUUUACUGGGUGUAAAGGGUGCGUAGGCGGCUCUGCAAGUCAGGCGUGAAAACUAUGGGCUUAACCCAUGGACUGCGUUUGAAACUGUGGGGCUUGAGUGAAGUAGAGGUAGGCGUAAUUCCCGGUGUAGCGGUGAAAUGCGUAGAGAUCGGGAGGAACACCAGUGGCGAAGGCGGCCUACUGGGCUUUAACUGACGCUGAGGCGCGAAAGCAUGGGGAGCAAAC
rnacentral:rRNA from 1 species